rnacentral:misc_RNA from 1 species
GAUGAAGAACGUAGCGAAAUGCGAUAAGUAAUGUGAAUUGCAGAACUCAGUGAAUCAUCGAGUCUUUGAACGCACAUUGCGCCCCCUGGUAUUCCGGGGGGCAUGCCUGUCCGAGCGUCAUUGCUGCCCUCAAGCACGGCUUGUGUGUUGGGCCUCCGUCCUCCUCCCGGGGGACGGGCCCGAAAGGCAGCGGCGGCACCGCGUCCGGUCCUCGAGCGUAUGGGGCUUCGUCACCCGCUCUUGUAGGCCCGGCCGGCGCUUGCCGACACAUCAAUCUUUUUUCCAGGUUGACCUCGGAUCAGGUAGGGAUACCCGCUGAACUUAAGCAUAUCAAUAAGCGGAGGA